AUGCACGCUGGCGGCGUGCCUCAUACCUGCAAGUCGAGCGCACGGACGAGAAGCUUGCUUCUCUGAUGUUAGCGGCGGACGGGUGAGUAACACGUGGAUAACCUACCUAUAAGACUGGGAUAACUUCGGGAAACCGGAGCUAAUACCGGAUAAUAUUUUGAACCGCAUGGUUCAAAAGUGAAAGACGGUCUUGCUGUCACUUAUAGAUGGAUCCGCGCUGCAUUAGCUAGUUGGUAAGGUAACGGCUUACCAAGGCAACGAUGCAUAGCCGACCUGAGAGGGUGAUCGGCCACACUGGAACUGAGACACGGUCCAGACUCCUACGGGAGGCAGCAGUAGGGAAUCUUCCGCAAUGGGCGAAAGCCUGACGGGGCAACGCCGCGUGAGUGAUGAAGGUCUUCGGAUCGUAAAACUCUGUUAUUAGGGAAGAACAUAUGUGUAAGUAACUGUGCACAUCUUGACGGUACCUAAUCAGAAAGCCACGGCUAACUACGUG
rnacentral:rRNA from 1 species